GACGAACGCUGGCGGCGUGCUUAACACAUGCAAGUCGAACGGAAAGGCCCCCAUCUUGGUGGGGGUGCUCGAGUGGCGAACGGGUGAGUAACACGUGGGUGAUCUGCCCUGUACUUCGGGAUAAGCUUGGGAAACUGGGUCUAAUACCGGAUAGGACCAUGGUUUAGUGUCUCAUGGUGGAAAGAUUAUUGUUUUGGUGCAGGAUGAGCUCGCGGCCUAUCAGCUUGUUGGUGGGGUAAUGGCCUACCAAGGCGUCGACGGGUAGCCGGCCUGAGAGGGUGGAAGGGCAAAGUGGGAACGAGAUACGGGCCAGAAGACUAAGGGGGGGAGCAGUGGGGAAUAUUGCACAAAGGGGGCAAGCCUGAUGCAGCGACGCCGGGUGGGGGAUGACGGGCUUCGGGGUGGAAACCCCUUUCGUUAGGGACGAAGCCGGACUUUUUUUGGGUGUGGUGACAGUACCUUUGUGAAGAAGCACCGGCUAACUACGUG
rnacentral:rRNA from 1 species